rnacentral:rRNA from 1 species
GGCGUAGGGGGCCAGCGUUGUUCGGAAUUACUGGGUGUAAAGGGUUCGUAGGCGGUGCGGCAAGUUGGGAGUGAAAUCUCUGGGCUUAACCCAGAGGCUGCUUCCAAAACUGCUGUGCUUGAGUGUGGGAGAGGCGCGUGGAAUUGCAGGUGUAGCGGUGAAAUGCGUAGAUAUCUGCAGGAACACCCGUGGCGAAAGCGGCGCGCUGGACCACUACUGACGCUGAGGAACGAAAGCUAGGGGAGCAAACAGG